CCCAAGAUGGCGGCCACCAUGAAGAAGGCGGCUGCAGAAGAUGUCAACGUUACUUUUGAAGAUCAACAAAAGAUAAACAAAUUUGCACGGAACACGAGUAGAAUCACAGAGCUGAAGGAGGAAAUAGAAGUUAAAAAGAAACAACUCCAGAAUUUAGAAGAUGCUUGUGAGGACAUCAUGCUUGCAGAUGAUGAUUGCUUAAUGAUACCUUAUCAAAUUGGUGAUGUUUUCAUUAGCCAUUCUCAAGAAGAAACACAGGAAAUGUUAGAAGAAGCAAAGAAAAAUUUGCAAGAAGAAAUUGACGCCUUAGAAGCCAGAGUGGAAUCAAUUCAGCGAGUGUUAGUGGAUCUGAAAGUUCAGUUAUAUGCAAAAUUUGGGAGCAACAUAAACCUCGAAGCUGAUGACAGUUAAACAUUUUAUAAUACUUUUUUUAAAUUUGUUUAAUAAACUUGAAUAUUGUUUAAAAUGAAAA